rnacentral:lncRNA from 1 species
GAGUGUCUGCGCACGGUCGAAGGAGGAGCCGGCAAGGCGGAAAACUCUCCGGGCGCGGCCGCGUUUGUCGCCCCGGGGCGGAGCCGCACGAGAUGGGCGGAGCCUCUCUGGAGGGGCGGGGUGCGUGGGACCACGCCCACAGGAGCCCAGUGGACUGUAAGAGCCGGAAGAAGCCUGGUUGGCAGGUGUGGUCUGCUUGCUCCAGCAGAUCGGAAUGAGCUAGCCUGCCAGGCUACUGCCUCACAGCGGGAAACUCAGGCUUAAGGUUUCAGAGUGAAUGAAUAAAUAAAUAAAUAAAUAAAUAAAUAAAUAAAUAGCAGAGGAACAUGAUUACUCCUAGGUAUGGUGAAGGAGAAGGUUUAUUGUAGAGAAAAAAGAGACAUAGUCAAAGGCAGACACAUCUGGGAGAAUCCAGAAUGGUCAUGACCCAGAGCCUUGUGAGGAGAGUGGGGAGGGGAAAGGAGAUGGGUGAGAGAGGAGA